rnacentral:rRNA from 1 species
UUAAAUUGAUGAGUUUGAUCAUGGCUCAGAUUGAACGCUGGCGGCAGGCCUAACACAUGCAAGUCGAACGGUAUCAGGAAGCAGCUUGCUGCUUUGCUGACGAGUGGCGGACGGGUGAGUAAUGUCUGGGAAACUGCCUGAUGGAGGGGGAUAACUACUGGAAACGGUGGCUAUUUCCGCAUUACGUCGCAAGACCAAAGAGGGGGACCUUCGGGCCUCUUGCCAUCUGAUGUGCCCAGAUGGGAUUAGCUUGUUGGUGAGGUAACGGCUCACCAAGGCGACGAUCCCUAGCUGGUCUGAGAGGAAGACCAGCCACACUGGAACUGAGACACGGUCCAGACUCCAACGGGAGGCAGCAGUGGGGAAAAUAGCACAAUGGGCGCAAGCCUGAAGCAGCCAUGCCGCGAGUA